rnacentral:ncRNA from 1 species
CACAAAGCGGGUCCGACGGUGAUCUUGUUUUGUGUGGUCUAACAUGCGGCGCCUCCUGUGCGAGUCGGCGUGGGCCAAACAGUCUUUGGUGUUGUGGUAGACGAGCUACCUGACCCGUCUUGAAACAUGGACCAAGGAGUUUAUCAUGCACGCGAUUCAAUGGGUCACACGAAACCCAAAGGCGCAGUAAAAGUGACGUCUCGACUUGUUUUUGGUAUUUGAUGAGAUGCCACUCUUUCUCACACCUAUCCUUGCGCUUACAGCAACAGACAGAACAGCAGUGGUCGCAUCACCGGCCCGUCCCGUAAUGUGGUCGAUGGAAAGGCAUGGAUCGUUCUGCGGUCUGCGUUGCAGCCGGCGCGUCAUCGGGGCGGAGCAGGAGCUUGCACGAUAAAACCCGAAAGAUGGUGAAUUUUGCUUGCGUAAAUUGAAGACAGGGGACACUCUGGUGGAAGAUUGCAGCGAUUCUGACGUGCAAAUCGAUCACAAAUGUGAGUAAAGGGGCGAAAGACUAAUCGAACCAUCUUGUAGCUGGUUCCCUCCGAAGUUUUACUCAGGAUAGCUGGUACUCAUUCGCAAGAUCAAUUUUAUCCGGUACAGCGAAUUAUUAGAGGUACUGGGUUCGAAACGAGCGUGAGAUGCG